GCUUUUCAUGCCAAAAAAAAUCUCCCUGUGUAUGAAUUCAGUGUUGCUGGCAAAACCCCAGUCUGAAAUGGGUUUUCUUACUCACUUAACAUAUUCUUCUGGUGUGAAGGAAUAAUUUCCAACUAAACAUCUUACAGAAAGCUGCUUGCUGAUUUUGCUAAGCACACUUACUGAAAAUUAGUUCUUCUAAUUGCCAAAAAUACUUCUUUUACAAAUGUUUCUUACCUCGAUUCUAGCCAGCAGGCAAGACAUACUCUGAUGGGCAGAGGAGGUAUGAAUCAAGUCAUGAGAAUGGAAACUGGAAGACUAGCAUCAUGAUUCUGAAAAGAAGAAUAUGAAAAAACAUCUGUUUCUACAUGUCCAAAAAGUCAUGAGAUCUUCCUCCAAUGCAUUGCACAAGAAAGUUUGUGCACUGAAUGAAGUGUUAAUCUGCAGAAGGAAGCUUGUCAGCACUCUACAAAAGCAAUGCAGGUCAAGUCACUCCCUCAAAAGCCAGGUAUCCUCAGGAUUUGCUCACCUUUACACCCAUAAGAAAAUUUGGACCUGUGCCAGCCAGUGUGCUCUGGUGUGUAGGAAGCCUCCCAGGAACUGGUCUCUCAAGUGCUACAGAAUGAGCAGGUAGCUCUGAGUCAUUCUGUACCAGCUCCUGGUAGCGACUGUGGCUCACAGGGGACCCUCACUGGAGCAGUCUGUUCCUGAAGGAAUCACCCCACGGGAAGGACCCAUGCAGGACAACCAUACUUUGGGUACCUCUGGUAGCUGUUAUUCUCAUCCAGAAGCACAGUUUGCUGGAUGGAAGUUAACCAAAAAAGCACUUGGCCACACUGACUGUCUGCCACAUCUGCAUCCUGCAGCUUCUAGGGGCAUAUUUUGAAGGCAGAAAUACCUGGUUUUUAGCAUUUGCCAAUUUUGACAGAGUAUUCACAAAGUGCCUGGCUAACUAAUCUGAUUUGUUGCAACAGAUUACUUAUUGUUGAUGAAUAGAAGCUUGAUGUAUUUGUGUCCCCCAAGUCUUUAUAGGCCUGUGCAAGCUUGAGUCCAGGGGUUUUGUUCUGCCCUAUAUCUCUUCCACCCUUUCUAGGAUAUCUCCUUCUCCCCUCCUUGACUUUCAUACGUCUCCUUUCUACUCACAAUAUUCAUACAAUGAAAUCCACUAAGGAUAUUUUGCUGAAUUAAAAUUCACUUCUCAUUAAUGUGAAUAAAGCUUAAAUGAAUCAUUUAUCCUGUAGUGUUUACUGACUUACAGAUAAUAAUCUUGCAUUACAACUAAUAGGUAAAGGUCAGCUUGCAUGAUUCACUGUUAAUUUGUUUUCAUUUAAACUAAUUUACUUAGAAUUUGUACAGCAUUGGCUCCCUGAGGGAAUGCAGCAAAAACUAUGACCUGAUGACAAGUAGAACCAUUAAAUUAUAACAGAAUCAUUAAUAAAAGAGUCUUUUUAAAAUUUGUUUAAAAUCUUGGGAGAUAUUAGCAACUUAUUUAUGUAAGAUAUGGAAAGUACGUCUGUAAUAUAAUUGCAUAUAAAUUAAAAAUUUGCCCGGGGAGCCUUUACAGUGGUCAUAGUUUUCAAAUGAUUGGCAGAUACAUUAACACUGAGUGCCCCAGGAAAAAGAUAAUGAAUUCUGGGGUUUGAUAUUUUUUUCUGAUUUCCAAGGAGAAUAUUAGUGUGUUCUUUUGUUUGUGAUGCUUGACAUUUUCAUAACUAGUUGACUUAAAAAUGAAAUCACUUACGAUGCUGGUCUUGUUAAUAGCUAACUGGAUUAUUUUGACUUUCAUUUGGCUUAGGAGACAGAGCUAGAAAAAAGAACGAAUAACAGUCUCAAGAAAUAGAAGGAAACUUGUUUCAAGUACAUGUAGAUAAGAUAUUUUAGGUGUCAUUGAAUCUUUUAUUAGGGUAUAGCUUCUUCACUUGUUGACAGGAAAACCAAAGAUAUGCUUUAUUAUGCUUUCUAAAUGAGAUGCCCUAGCUCUUUCGUUUAUUUAUUGUGACAUGAGAAGUAAUGUAUUAAUUAAAAAGUCUUGCCAGCCUAGAUCUGACCUAGGUGAUCUGACUUAGAUCAGGCUGUAAUCAACUAAAGACUAUAAUUGAUUUAUAGACUUCUGCAUGACCGUAGGAUGGCAACUCCAGAUGCCUGAAAAUAGCCAGAAGUGGUAGAUCAAAACACUCUUUUAUUUCCCAUUAACAAGACACUGACAUGUUUGCACUCUGCUCACUCAUCAAACUUCUUCACUUUGUUAAAAUAUUUUUUUCAUUGUUAAAAAAGUAAUAUUUGGACAUAUUCUUAGAUGUCACGUCUUAUGACAGUGACAGUUUAUGCUCAUCUCUAGUUAAAAAUAUAACUACUGAUUAACAGAGUUCUUAAUAAUACAAAACAGGAUGCACUGCAAUGUAGUGGGAAGAGCAGAAAAAGAACAUUUAGAAGACCAGACAUCCAAUUUCUUGGAACUGGCACAUGUUGAAUGUGCCUUUAAUACGUUUUCAAACAUGAUAUACCGGAUAUUCUACUUUAUCACAUGCUUAUAGAAAUCCGUUUAAAUUUUAUUUCAAAAGCUCUUCUCCAAAUUGUACUGUUAGAAAUGAGAAGCCUUAUCAAUCUCUAAAUGCUUAUCUUGUCUAUUUUGUCAUGUAAACCCAUUAGUUAUAGAUCCUAAAUUUUAUUCUAAAAUAUCAUAAUACCCAAAGUAAUCUACCAACCAUUUGAAUAAUAUUGUAAAGUCUAAAUAUUUGGAAGAUUCCAUAAAAAAAUGAUUAUUUAACAAAGAGUUAAUUAAACAUAAUUAAACACCUACUCUCUGUUAACUCAAUAUCUCAUCUCCUCUGAGGAGCAAUAGAAAAUGGUCAGAGACAAAUCCUUAGCCAAAAUCAGUAGGGGUACUCUGGCAAAAUAAGUCCCCCUGAAUUUUUGUCUUAGUCAAAUUGAUAUUUAAUUUGAUAUCUGAAGUAGGUAUGGUAUUAGGGGAUAUGACUCUGCAAAGUCUCAAUAUAAUUAUAAGCUUUUAAUAUCCUUACAAUCUUUUCCAUCUCAUGUCUCCCACCUUUUUCCUGAACAAUGAAUUUCACAGUCUUAAUAUAUUCACUGGAAAAAUCAAUACCUCAAUUUUAUGUUAUUAGGUAUACAGAAAUAUCUACUUUAUUAUUUUUAAUGUCCUUAAGGACUGAAUUUUCCAGAGAGGGAACAUUUUAAAGAUUGCAAAUAGUAAAAUUAUACAAAUAGGUUUUAUGGAAUUACAAUUGAAGCUACUAAUUUUCUGUCAACUCUGCACAGCCAUCUACAGCAGGCAGUUUUAUGUCUACUGGAAAGACCUACAACAAAUAUUAUUUAUGC